rnacentral:rRNA from 1 species
AGUGAACGCUGGCGGUAGGCCUAACACAUGCAAGUCGAACGGCAGCACAGUAAGAGCUUGCUCUUACGGGUGGCGAGUGGCGGACGGGUGAGGAAUACAUCGGAAUCUACUUUUUCGUGGGGGAUAACGUAGGGAAACUUACGCUAAUACCGCAUACGACCUACGGGUGAAAGCAGGGGAUCUUCGGACCUUGCGCGAUUGAAUGAGCCGAUGUCGGAUUAGCUAGUUGGCGGGGUAAAGGCCCACCAAGGCGACGAUCCGUAGCUGGUCUGAGAGGAUGAUAAGCCACACUGGAACUGAGACACGGUCCAGACUACUACGGGAGGCAGCAGUGGGGAAUAUUGGACAAUGGGCGCAAGCCUGAUCCAGCCAUACCGCGUGGGUGAAGAAGGCCUUCGGGUUGUAAAGCCCUUUUGUUGGGAAAGAAAAGCAGCAGGUUAAUACCCCGCUGUUCUGACGGUACCCAAAGAAUAAGCACCGGCUAACUUCGUG